AAAAAUUUAGUUAAUAUAAUAACAUCAAUUUGUCAAAUUGAAAUAAAUAUUUAAAUAUUAAUUUUUU
rnacentral:tRNA from 1 species